CGCAAUUCCUUUAAGUUUCAGCCUUGCGGCCGUACUUCCCAGGCGGCGGGCUUAACGACUUCUCUGCGGCACUGGAGUAGCUCGUAGCUACCCCAACACCUAGCCAGCAUCGUUUACAGCUGGGACUACCCGGGUGUCUAAUCCGGUUCGCUCCCCCAGCUUUCGUCCAUCACCGUCAGGCACGUUCUAGUNGACNGCCUUCGCCACUGGUGGUCCUCCCAGGAUUAUAGGAUUUCACCCCUACCCNGGGAAUACCGUNAACCUNUCCCGUCCUCAAGCCCANUAGUAUCUUCCGNGNCCCGGCGAUUAAAUCGUCGGAUUUAACGAAAGACNNNNUAAGCCGGCUACGGACGCUUUAGGCCAAAUAAUNGUCCCUANCANUCAGGGGGNUGGUAUUACCGCGGCGGCUGACACCAGAUCUUGCCCCCCUUUUAUUCCCCCANGCUCNUUAANUCUGANGGAAAACGCCAUCCUCAUCGGAGCGGCAACUACGGGUUAANCCCAUCAGUNCAUUCGCGCACUUGUGGAG
rnacentral:rRNA from 1 species